rnacentral:lncRNA from 1 species
UUGUUACUAUGUUCACAUUUCAAGAGUACCAUGUGUACAACAAAGUUCUUCUCUUUGCAUGAAAAAUUUAGCUAUGUAAACUUACCCCUAUUACCUUAGUCCCUUAUGGGGCUUAUGGCUUUUCCUUUGUCUUAGGUGGUUGAGAGACAGAACAGUUUGACUUGAGCACUAACUUUCUCAUUCUUAGCAAGUUUCAUAUCAGAGGUUUUGUGAUAUUUUCAAAAGAAAGCUUAAAUGUUCCUCUUAUGGUUCUCUCAUGUCACUCAAAUGGUGUAUGAUUCCUCACCAAGGCAUAUGGUAAGAGUUGCCUUCUCUAUUUCAUCCUAUUUCUAAAAGGCUUAUGUGGAGUUCAAGGUAGGGAUGAAAGGAGAUAGCAUACUUACUUUGCAUGUAUUGCGAAGUCAAAGCUCGGAUCCUUGAAGAGAAGUGUCAUACUCCCAGAUCAAGAUGUGCAAGUGUGGACUAGGUUGCUCCUUUAUUUGAUAGACUCUCUAUGUAUUGAGACAUGGCUAGCAUUUUUUUCUUCUUUCUUUUUUUUUAUAUAUGGGCUUUCAUGUGCUCAAUUUUCUUUUUCUGUGGACUUGCACAUGUCCAUCUUUUUAUUUCAUUUUGCCUAGCCUUUUGAUGUCUCAUUUACCAAAUAAUGCUUAGAGAGAUGUUCUAACAUUUAGAGUAUGGAGCAACCUAUUUAGUGGAUGCGAAAUACAUGUGGUUGCGUACUUCCAGUGUAGAAGCAGCAUAUAUAUAUGUGGUGUGUACGUGAUCUUGAUCUUAGGAGCAUGAAAAGUCUCUUAACAAGGGUCAACAAGACUUGACGACACUCAACCCAAAGCAAAUAGCUUAUGUGGAAAGGUUGCAAUUAUGUAAAGUAGAUAUGGCUGU